GCCUCGGUAGUGUAACGGUUUAGCACGCGCACCCGGAAACGGUGAGAUGUGGGCUCGAAUCCCAGCUGACGCA